rnacentral:lncRNA from 1 species
CAACCAACUUUUUUGCAAUCUUUUCUAAAUAUUUUUGUUAUUUUGAAAAUAUGUUGUAUCCCAAAAAAACAAAAUUAAAAAGAUCAGACCCAAUAAUACUUACGUAAGAAAGAAAUUAAUUAUGUUUAAUUCUUCUAAUUCUUUAUUGAGCUCUAAAAAUAAUUGAGGCGUAUUUUAAAGUGUGAUCGCUCCAUGUGAUAGUUUUUUAGUUGUUAGAGAGCACUCCGCUGUGUGACCUAGUGCUCCACCGAAGUUAUUCGGUGCUCAAGCAGAAGCUGACUCAGGGUAAUGGUGUUGGAUUCUUGAGUGAGCUAGGGUAGCCGGCCUUGGUAUCCCUAGCACUGGUUUACAGUCUUAGAAAUCUAAGCAACACAAUCCAUUCACUUGCAUCAUUUUGAUUCAUAUUUUGGUGAGAUUGGAUAGCCUCUAGUGCAUUUGCAUCGUCGACUUGCAUCUCGUGGCACUAGUUGAUCAUGGAGUCUGUUGGUGUUCUUAUUACUUUUGAUGAUUUGUCGUCAUCUAUAUGCUUAAAGCUCGUGGGAUCAUUGAGGAGCUAUCGGUGAUUGAUGUUGCCUCAUAUCAACCAAUUGUAAGGGGCUUGUAGCAUUGAUGAGACAGUAUAACCGACCCAUGUUUCUAAUAGUACAAAGACAAAAAAGUAAAAGAAAAAAAAGAAAACGUUAGGGGUUAUUUGGUUCCUAGCUGAAUCUUCCAUAUGAGCUAUAGCGUCGCCACAUUUUGUGACGUCCAAAAUAGUUGCCACACCUAUGACGUAGAUUUGUACUAGAAAAAUCUAUGAUCGCCACACUCAUGACCAAACACCCUCCUUUCUAUGCAUAGCGAAUCGUAAGCGAGCACCCUCUUCUUCAUGGAGGCGGAGGAUUAUGGUUUUUCUGGGUCUUAGAUUUUCUUAGGUGUUAUUCGUUCUCGGCU